UCAGUGGCUGAGCCACAUUGAGGCAAAUUAAAAAGGGCCGGGGUCAUGUGCAAGAAUUAAUCGAUUACUUUUUUUUGUUGCGCAAAAAUCUCACUAGAACACAUGAUCAACAAGUUGAGGCAAGACACACCUGCUUCAUGUAAAUGGGAUUGGUUAGGUCCAACUCCAAUAUGAAUUGGCCAAAUGCUUCAAGUCCUGAAAGUUACAUCCAUGAUGGUCGACCAUGAUUACUUUCCUCUCAAGCAUGAAACUAGGGAACAAGUCCACAAGGUUUGAAUACAUUGGAAGUCUUCGAUCGUUUUCCAAUAUAUUAUGUGCACUCUCUCUUGUCUGCGAUGGAAAGUGACCAUUACUAAUGAUUCGAUUCAAAGCAAACUAAUGAGUCAUAUUUGCCAAGGGUACGUAAUCUACAAUAUUGGUUGGGAUCGGUUCUGGAGCGAACUUUGCCACAAGAUAAAGACAACACCAUUCUAAUGGCUCCUGUGUUUCAUCCGAUCAAAGUCUGCAGAUCAGUUUCGGAACUAGCUAUAUAUCGGCUGUUGUCAUAUUUAUACGUCGAAUACCAAUACAAAACAGCUUCCAUAAUUGACAUGCUUGUCUAUAGUGAUAAUCGAUCGACACUGGCAAAUGACCUUAUUAUUAGGGUUUGAUGGGAUUUUCUCUUUAGAAAAAUUCACAUGCAUUUUAUGUUUUUAAGCACUCCACACGUGGCGGUUUAAGAAGUGUUAUAAUUAUAUAUAUAUAUAUAUAUAUUAUUUAAGAA